rnacentral:rRNA from 1 species
UACGGAGGGUGCAAGCGUUAUCCGGAUUCACUGGGUUUAAAGGGUGCGUAGGUGGUUCUGUAAGUCCGUGGUGAAAUCUCCGAGCUUAACUUGGAAACUGCCAUGGAUACUAUAGAUCUUGAAUACUGUGGAGGUUAGCGGAAUAUGUCAUGUAGCGGUGAAAUGCUUAGAUAUGACAUAGAACACCAAUUGCGAAGGCAGCUGGCUACACAAAUAUUGACACUGAUGCACGAAAGCGUGGGGAUCAAACAGG